CAGCAGCCGCGGGAAUACAGAGGAUGCAAGCGUUAAUCAGAAUUACUGGGCGUAAAGGGUGCGUAGGCGGUUAUUUAAGUCUGUUGUGAAAUCCCCGGGCUCAACCUGGGAAUGGCAAUGGAUACUGGAUAGCUAGAGUGUGUCAGAGGAUGGUGGAAUUCCCGGUGUAGCGGUGGAAUGCGUAGAGAUCGGGAGGAACAUCAGUGGCGAAGGCGGCCAUCUGGGACAACACUGACGCUGAAGCACGAAAGCGUGGGGAGCAAACAGGAUUAGAGACCCCCGUAGUCCCUGUCUCUUAUAC
rnacentral:rRNA from 1 species